rnacentral:lncRNA from 1 species
ACAGACUUGAUUAUGAAUUCGCAAAACCCAUAAUCAAACGGCUUCAGCAAGUGGAAGAUUACGCGAUGUCGUACCAGUACGUCAUUUCCAUUUGCAGCAACACGUUAGUAUCCGAUCUUGCAACCACUUUCCGUCAGCAGCACAUAAAUUUAAAGAUGAAAUUUCUGGUUUGAAACCUCAUCACGCGCGACUGGUUUGCAGCAAUAAGAGUAAAGAAAAAAAAAUCGACGAGAAUAAAAAAAAACUUUCCUUCAAUCGAUUUCUCCAGACUUUGCGAUUUGUUUUUCAAGCGCAAUUCAGCAACUUUGCGAUUUGCUUUCCUAUGGUUUCCGUCAACAACUUUGCGAUUUGGAAACUUGCAGCAACAUGAUUCAGCAACGACGUGGAUGAAAAUGCGAACUGAGCAGCAACAAACAACGCCAUCUGGGCAGCAACGCGGGCAACAGCAGACGACACGAUCUGGGCAGCAACGUGGGCAGCAGAAGACGACACGAUCUGGGCAGCAGCAGCGUGCGAUUUUUUAUUCCUUCACCAGGCAGAAACGCGAUUUGCAGAUUGCAGACCCUCUUCAAUUAUAUACGAUAUUGUAUUUUCAAUGAAUCAAUUAUCAACAAUAUCCUCUACUUAUAUACUCCAACCCAACACUAAUAAUCAGUUAACUAACUCAAUUAACAACAGUUUAAACUAAUUCUUAAUUCUUUAUCCUUCUCAUAAGCAGGCGGCGAGAAAUCACAAUGAGGAAUCGAAGACUGCAAUCGGAAAAUGGACUGCAAUGAAACCCAUGGAAAAUCCACGCAAAGUCACGCGAGCACAAGAAAUCCACGAUCGCAAAAUCGAAGACUGAAAUCCACGAUUGCAAAAUCGAGAAAUCGUAAAAACUGCAAACGGCGAACUGGAAACGACGAGAUCGGUCAGACGCAAAAUUGCGAGAACUGGAAUCCACCAAAUCGCCAAGAAAUGAGAUCGCAAGAUCACUCUCUCUUUUCAAGAAGGGGAAGAUCAACUAAGUUAACAACAACAAACUUGUAC